rnacentral:rRNA from 1 species
CCUACGGGAGGCAGCAGUGGGGAAUAUUGCACAAUGGGGGAAACCCUGAUGCAGCGACGCCGCGUGAGUGAAGAAGUAAUUCGUUACGUAAAGCUCUAUCAGCAGGGAAGAAACACUCACCUUCCGGUCAGCAGACGGUACCUGAGUACGAAGCACCGGCUAACUACGUGCCAGAGGCCGCGGUAAUACGGAGGAUGCGUGCGUUAUCCGGAUUUAUUGGGUUUAAAGGGUGCGUAGGGGGAAUAUCUAGUCCGCGGUAAAAAUUCGGGGCUCAACCCCGUCGUGCCGUUGAAACUGAUGUUCUUGAGUGGGCGAGAAGUAUGCGGAAUGCGUGGUGUAGCGGUGAAAUGCAUAGAUAUCACGCAGAACUCCGAUUGCGAAGGCAGCAUACCGGCGCCCAACUGACGCUGAAGCACGAAAGCGUGGGUAUCGAACAGGAUUAGAUACCCUGGUAGUC